rnacentral:sRNA from 1 species
ACCAGAACAGAUAUCCGACCCCAUAUCAGACUCCCCUUUCCGCUUCCCUUUCGAUAGCCUCUGCCAGCUCACCCAGAGUAUUGAAUCGCCAACCAAAUGCGACUUUCGCAUUAUCACCCCCAAGGUAUUCAGCCACGUUGCCACCCAUUCCGUCUCGUCCCUCCCCCCUUGAAAUCCACACACUUUGCAGUCCAAAAUUUUUCGCCGGCUCAUGAUCAUGGAACAAGCUCUGCGCAACAUGCAAAACAUCAUCCUUCGCUGCUCCAAAAUCCGACUUCAAAUGCGAUAACAGAUAUUCGAAGUUUCGGUGGUCUGGUUUGUAAGACCCAACAUCCUGCGCCGUAUAUACGGCAUCGAAGAAGGCCUCCCCAUCUUUUAACCCUUUAUGCACUCCCCCUAAUGGGCCAUGGAGAGUUUUCUGGAAAGAAGCGCGGUCCACAUUCGAUAAAGGCACGAGCUUAUAGCGCUGCUUCAAUUUUCGCAUCGCUUCAACGGUAUCUGGGAAUGGUGGCCAGGUGCCAAUGCUCGCUCCGAAUGCGCUGCUCUCUUUAUCUAGAAGUGAGGAUGCGUCUUCCGUAUCCGUAGCUGCUGGUAGAGCUUGUAACUCCUUUGCGAGGGCUUCAUACGAAGCUUUGAGGAUCAAAUCGUACGACUGUGUUGGGUUCUCCACUUGGAAAGUACGUUCAUAUUUGUUCAACGCACAGCCAAGAGCAACAUGGUCUGAUUUCAGAGGAUGCGAAUCUGGGAGCCGGGCAGCAAGCGGUUUCAAGCUCUCGAGAAUCCCCUUCUCCCAGUCAAUUAAGGUGCCAUAUAUAUCAAAUGAAAGUACGGAAAACGACGUCAAGGGGCGAUUGGACGCCAUGGGGAACUUUGACUGAAACUAAUAGCUGCGAGAGACCAGCCCGGAAGUUUACAACUACAAACGAAAUUGUCACCAGGGAUCCUGUCGUUUAAAUAUAUCUCUGGUCCCGUCGUUCUUCUUGUUGCACAGUGGGGUUGAUUAAAUAUUAUUAACGCCGUCUCUGCCAAGGCGCGCCCUACAACAAGAUGUGCCUAGGUAUUGUGGAGAAUGUUUCAAAUUCCCUUUGAUCGUGGCUUUUUAUUCAACAUUCGGCUACGACCUUGUGAAUUGCACCGCGGAACAACAGCUACGCCAAUUCCUCCUUCCAUGACAGACGCUUCAAUAAUUACCAUGAUAAUAGCUAAUUUUCUUCUCGAUUAAACUCUCUAUGUCAACUAUGUAAUAGAAAUGUCACGGCUCAUACCGCCACGAUAUGCAUUCAAGCAAGAUAUAAAACAAGAGAACGACAGAAAAGCAGUGCAAGCAAGUAAGGAGUAUAGAAUAGCAUCGUGGGAUGGUUUAGUAAUCAUAACAAUCAAUCGGCAGAUUGCCGAGGGCGAUACAGGAGUUGACAGAGAACGAAAAAGCCAGAAAAAUUGACACUGACAAAGGCGGGGCGGACGUAGGAGUAUAUGUCUCUCGUAUGUACCCCGGAUUCCAUCCCCUCAACCCCUCCUUUUGCUUUUUUCUUUUUUCUUUCUUUCUUUUUUCCUUUUUUCCUUUUUUUUUUUUUUUUUUUUUUUUUUUGAUGUCGAAACGAUAUUAAAAUGACCUUUUCAAUGGAUAAUCGAAAGAGUUAUCAUCAAAAAUAGAAUUGGCCAUUGGCUUUUGAAAGAGCCAAAGGAACAUUCAGACCCGCAGACAGGCGCAUAGUAAGCAGAACAAGCAGAAUGCCCUUCAUGGCAACCUCCAAAUAAUGGGAGGCAUAUCAAAUAGAGAGACGGGGCAAAAGAGAACUGAAACAAACAAUCAAAGCACAUGGUAAAGAUGGAUGUGCAGGCUGAGGGCAUAAUGAGGUAAGGAACAAACAACGGAAGCUAUGGAUAUAAAGGAUGAAAAUAGGAAUGGACAUGGUAAUCGAAAAUAAAGAACCUAAAUCACCGCCCCAUUGGCAUAUCUUUUCCUUGCCAACCCUCCCAAAAUAACGCCGGUUUGACCAAGGCGGGUAUAUCCAGCACCACCAUGCAAAUUUCCGCUAGGGGAAUUAGUAAUAAUGGACAAAAUUUGAAUUACAGCGAAGGGAAAAUAAAAAAAAGGUGAAAGAGAAGAACGAAACACGAGACAAGAAAAAAGGACGUUGAAUCCCAAACGCCAAAACCCUCUUUUGAAAUAAAACGCCGAUAUUGGAACCGUAAAGAUUUUCACCAUAAACUCGAAAAAUUCAUGCUGUUCAUUGUAUUUUUCAAAUCAAGUCAUCGGGCGCCAACACCAAACAUGCCCACGCCGUAGCUACCGGCUCGUUCAGUGAGAGUGGGGGACACUCCCGAGAUGUGAUC